rnacentral:tRNA from 1 species
GAAAUGGUGGUUCAGUGGUAGAAUGUUUGCCUUCCAUGUGGAAGACCUGGGUUUGAUUCCCAGCCAACGCA